GAAUUUGAUGAAGCUGAUGGAGACGAAAGCAAUCUAGACCAGCCGUCCAAGAGAAAAACACACAAAAAGAUACGCAUGAACAAAGACACUGAUGAAUAUGAUGAAGCUGAUGGAGACGGAAGCAAUCUAGACCAGCCGUCCAAGAAAAAAACGCACACAAAGAUACGCAUGAACAAAGACACUGAUGAAUUUGAUGAAGCUGAUGGAGACGAAAGCAAUCUAGACCAGCCGUCCAAAAAAAAAACACACAAAAAGAUACGCAUGAACAAAGACACUGAUG